GUGACUGUAGCUCAGCCUGGUUAGAGCGCUUGGCUGUGAACCAAGAGGCCGCGGGUUCGAAUCCCGUCAGUCACCCCA
rnacentral:tRNA from 1 species